rnacentral:rRNA from 1 species
GAAGAGGGUUCUCUCCAACCCCUGUGACUUUCCCUUGUUGGUUGCCUCGGAGGGAUCUGCGCCCCGGGAGCGUCGAAGGCCCGCCCCAGGGCCCCCGCCGUCUCUUUCUCUAUGACGCUUCUUGUUAACACCCUCGCGGGUUUUUUUAUUUUCUGACGGAUGACUUGUUGCCGGCAGGCGUUACGAAAAUGACUCAAAACUUUCAACAAUGGAGCUUGUGGAACAGGUGAAUCAUCGUCUCUUUGAUAAUGAUUGUUGCCUCCGAAUUUAUGAAGGCAGUGAAUCUUCGAAUCUCUUAACUACCAUCGUCCCCCCCCUGGUGCUGGCGGUCAUGACUGUCCGAACCCCCUUUCAACCCUCAAACCCCUCCGGGGGGUCGGCGUUGGGGAUCGGCCCUGCCUUGUUAGUGGUAAUCUCCGAGGCCACGUGGUUGAACCGCCACUUCCUCUCGUGGACCUCAGAUUGUGUACUCGUAUCCGGAGAACUUAGCGUCAACAGCCGUUGAAGGAAAACUUCUGAAAUGUUGACCACGGAUCAGGUAGGAAUACCCGCUGAACUUAAGCAUAUCAAUAAGCGGAGGAA